UUUCCCAUCCCACAGAGGAUGGAAGUACAUGACAACCCUGUGAAGGUUAUAGCAUCGGGGUUCAUCAUGUUCUUUCUCAUCUAUCAAACUAUGCAAAUAUUCUUUCUGCCUCACUGCUGAUCCCGAUCCCAUGAAUCAUAUCAUUGUAGAGAGGCAAGUUAGGUUAUUUCGAACUUUUCACAAGCAUAUGCAGCUCCAUGAUAACGUUCUCUCUUUGGAAGCAUUCAAGAAGGGCCUGGAUUGGAGUCUUUUGCUGGCUGGUUGUGCUCAACAUCCAUUGAUGGUUCAUUACAUUGAAUGCAUAGAGAGGACCCACCUUUUGCUGGCCCUGACACAAUUUAAUCAGGUCCAUUGCCCACACAAGUCCUAUCCUUUUGCUGGCUGGUUGUGCUCAACAAAAUCCUCACCAUUGCUCACCUGGGGAACUGCGGAUUGACUAUCCCCUACAUUUCCUACUCCACAACAAAAACAAUGAAUCUGAGUCAUCUCUUUUUACAUUAUCUUUGUGCUUUUCAUGUCUGGUCUUCUGUACCGAGCUUGUCAACUUCAGCUGGGUUUUGUGUGGUUCUUUCUUUCUUUUCUUUCUCCAAUUGUUUUUUCCACCAUAACCAAGUCGGGAUCAUUGGCAUAGAGGUUGUUUCUAUUCACUUUCCAAUGGCUAUUAUGGAUCGGGUGCAACAACAGAACUUCUGAAAACACAGGUAUGGGAGUCGAGUUACUGCAUGCUAACAUAUUAGCUGAUGUUAUUUUUGAGCGAGAUCUACAGAGAAAUUCUGUAAGUUAAAGCUAUGGAGGAGAAAAAAGAACAGGUCUUUUAAAAUUAGCAAAUUUUAAUAUUUUCAGUGUGUUCACUAAAAAGCACAGGUAAAAGGUAAAGAAGAAAAAUAGCUCGAGCUCAUGGUUAACCUAGAAGGAUUUCUUGUUGCGGCCUUGAGGUUUUGCUCGAACCCAGCUUACCUUCUUAGAAAAGAAGAUUUGGCAAAAUCCUUGUAUUCAGGAAGGAAAAAGUUUAUAUAAAGGUUGCAACCUUAAAAAGUAGAAUUACAGGUGCACCUCAUAACUCCAUGGAAAAGGUUGUUUUAAUGAAAAAACUUAUAAUUGACUAUCUCGAUGUAUAAAUAUGAAAAAAAAAAAAGAUUUUGAGUCUAAAAAAUAGUGCAUCUGCAAUACAUUAUCUAGACAUCUAUUUUUAAGAUAUUUAUAUGUUUAUGGAUCUAUUUUUGGAGUUUAAAAUUUUAUAAUUAGAUAUGAAAAUGGAUUUUAAAAUAAUCAUAAGAAUUUGUUUUUUCAAAAUUACAUGCUAAGAUGAAAUUUGGAAGUGCGCUGUAAUUGAAUUGUUUAAGGUUGCAACCUCAUAGAAACCAGGCCCAUUCAUAAAUGGUAUAUGUUAUUGAAACACACUUUCCCGCAUCUAUUGGCUGUCCACCUAACCUCUUUUAGGGCCCCUGUAGAUAGGAG
rnacentral:lncRNA from 1 species